rnacentral:tRNA from 4 species
GCUGAAGUGGUGAAAUUGGUAGACACGCUAGUUUCAGGGACUAGUGAGCAAUGAGCUCAUGGGGGUUCAAAUCCCCCCUUCAGCACCA